rnacentral:rRNA from 1 species
AUUGAACGCUGGCGGCAGGCCUAACACAUGCAAGUCGAACGAGUGGCGGACGGGUGAGUAAUGUCUGGGAAACUGCCUGAUGGAGGGGGAUAACUAAUGGAAACGGUAGCUAAUACUGCAUAACAUGCGUUGUGCCCAGAUGGUAUUAGCUAGUGGGUGGGGUAACGGCUCACCAAGGCGACGAUCCCUAGCUGGUCUGAGAGGAUGACCAGCCAAACUGGAACUGAGACACGGUCCAGACUCCUACGGGAGGCAGGAGUGGGGAAUAUUGGACAAUGGGCGCAAGCCUGAUGCAGCCAUGCCGCGUGUAUGAAGAAGGCCUUCGGUUUGUAAAGUACUUUCAGCGGGGAGGCGGUACCCGCAGAAGAAGCACCGGCUAACUCCGUGCCAGCAGCCGCGGUAAUUC